UUGAAAGUCUUUAAGAAAAACAAGUGGUACUUGGAUAGUGGUUGCUCGGGCACAUGAUGGGAGACCCAUCUAAGUUUGUCUUUCUCUCCAAAAGGAUGGAGGUCUUGUAACCUUUGGUGACAACAAGAAAGGAACAAUGGUAGGUCACACUAAUGAGGAGGUAGCCUUGGAGUAUUUAGCAUUCGAGCAUAUUGACGCAUCAUCCUUCAUGGGAGAUAAUUCAGAGUCUGGUUGUACGACUAAUAGGGCUGGACGCGAUACUCUCGAAACGUUACUUUGGAUAAAUAUAUGCAACAAUUUGGGAGAAUUCCUAUCGAGUUCGACCCUGUAUUGGAGAAAUCAAUUUGCAACAAUGCUACAAGGUUUAGCAUAGCCAUUGGUACUAAUGUUUGAGAAUCUUUUUCUAUUCGUUAUGGAUCAAGGAGAGAGAACCAUUUUAUGUUAGACUUGUCCAACCAACUGGUCAAUAAUUUCAUCAAUGAACAGAUGAAAAGUUUGUUCAAAGAGUAUAGGAGGGAACUACACAAACACUAUAAAAAAAAUAUGCAAAUCCUGAAGAAGUACCACACCCACCUAAUCGACUUAAAGACGACAUAGAAGAUUGGCACUUUUUAUGCAACAAGUUUGAAUCCACCAAAUGAAGAAAAGUGGCAAAAACUAAUCAAAGGAAUCGGUCAGCCCAAAAGUACCCUCAUACAGUUGGUUCUAAGACUUUCAUACUCAUAUGAGAAUCCACGAAAGGACCCGACAGUCAAACAAUGGACAUAAAGUGGAUUUAUUUAAACAAACACACUAUAAGAGUGACCAGCCGUUUUUAAUCAGACCGCUAAUGAUUCAUACAGUCAAACGGUCGAGCUGAGAGAAGCCUCCACCCAAGAAGGGUCUGAACCAAUAUCAGAAGAAGAAAUGUGCGAGCAGGUGUUGGCCACAGGAGUGGGCCUUGGUAGGACACCAAAAGGUAAAACAAUGAAAAAAGUAAAUCAUCAUCCAGUACAUCCUCAUCAAAAGUUAUAGAGGAGCAAAAACAAGAGAUAGAAGAGUUAAAUGCUAGACUGGCUAGAUUGGACGAACUAGAAACAAAAAGACAAUCUGAGAUGGAUGAUAUAAAAGCUAUGCUCUUAUAGCUCAUGAGAGAUAAAUCGAACUAUGUAUGAACUCUUAAAUUUUCGUA